rnacentral:rRNA from 1 species
AUGAAAACAGACCUAUCUUCUCUUUCUUGGGCGGGGCACCAAAUUCAUGUAUCUUUACCAAUUAACCAAUUUCUUGACGCUGGGGUGGAUCCUAAAGAGAUACCACUUCCUCAUGAAUUUAUCUUGAAUCGGGACCUUUUGGCUCAACUUUAUCCUAGUUUUGCCGAAGGAGCAACCCCUUUUUUCACUUUAAAUUGGUCCAAAUACGCAGAAUUUCUGACUUUUCGCGGAGGACUAGAUCCAGUAACCGGUGGUCUCUGGCUGACCGAUAUUGCGCACCAUCAUUUAGCUAUUGCUAUUCUUUUCCUAAUCGCAGGUCAUAUGUAUAGGACCAAUUGGGGUAUUGGCCAUGGACUUAAAGAUAUUUUGGAGGCUCACAAGGGCCCAUUUACAGGACAAGGCCAUAAGGGUCUUUAUGAAAUCUUAACAACGUCAUGGCAUGCUCAAUUAUCUCUUAACCUAGCUAUGCUAGGCUCUACGACCAUUGUUGUAGCUCAUCAUAUGUAUUCUAUGCCUCCCUAUCCAUACCUAGCUACUGACUAUGGUACACAACUUUCCUUGUUCACACACCACAUGUGGAUUGGCGGAUUUCUAAUAGUCGGUGCUGCUGCACAUGCAGCAAUUUUUAUGGUAAGAGACUAUGAUCCAACUACUCGAUACAACGAUCUAUUAGAUCGCGUCCUUAGACACCGCGAUGCAAUCAUAUCCCACCUUAACUGGGUAUGUAUAUUUCUAGGUUUUCACAGUUUUGGCUUGUACAUUCAUAAUGAUACCAUGAGUGCUUUAGGCCGUCCACAAGAUAUGUUUUCGGAUACUGCCAUACAAUUACAACCUAUCUUUGCUCAAUGGGUACAAAAUAUCCAUGCUACUGCGCCUGGCGUAACAGCUCCUGGUGCAACAACAAGUACUAGCUUAACGUGGGGAGGCGGCGAGUUAGUAGCAGUAGGUGGCAAAGUGGCUUUGUUACCUAUUCCAUUAGGAACCGCAGAUUUUUGA